rnacentral:lncRNA from 1 species
AUCCCUUACACUAAAACAAAAAACGUGCUCACAAAAUAUAAAAGAUCAAACUACCUAAAGGAAAAACUUGAAAGUAAAAGCUACGAAUAUGACUAUGGAGACUUUAGGCGUCCCCUUCGUCGUCCUCCUGCGGAACCAACUCGGGAACGAUGUCCUCUUGAUCUGAAAUGAUUAAAUAAGGAAUGAGCUACACUAGCCCAGUAAAGACAUCACGAUAUCUCACCGUCACGGAGGUAAAAGUGGGUAGAAAACACAAAAAGACCAAUGGAGCAUAAUUUACAACAAAUCCUUUUAUUAAUAAUAAAACCUUUACCAUUCACUUACCUCGGUGAAAUUCAUAAAAUAAUAUACGAAAGCAAUAACAUCAUCAUCAUCAUGAAAACAUAUAUAUGAAUUGUAUAACAUAAUACCUAUCAAACUUUUCGUAAUUCAAUCGUUACACAACAUAUUUUCCUGAUUCACCAGCCCACUAGUAUCCAUGGGGAUCCAUAGGGGUCCCGCUACCCGUUAAUCCUUAACACUUGAAAUCCAUUCCAGGGCCGUCCCCAUACCCCGUCCGGUAUGGGCGCCAAACCAUAGACCUCAUUACCCCGUCCGGUAUGAGGGUGAAACGGGCCGUCCCCAUACCCCGUCCGGUAUGGGCGCCAAAACAUAGACCUCAUUACCCCGUCCGGUAUGAGGGUGAAACGGGCCAUCCCCAUACCCCGUCCGGUAUGGGCGCCAAAACACAUAAGAUCUCCAUACCCCGUCCGGUAUGGGAGACCACAAUCCCGGUAGGGUUCCCUACG